AUGAUUUUGACCUGUGCAGAAAGCAAAGAGCACUUGCAAGCCCUCCUCCACAAACACAGGGCGGUCUUUGCAACAAAUGAUGACGACUAUGGACGGACAACGGUGCAACAUGUAAUUCCAACGGCAGAUGCACCACCGCAAAUGUACCAAGAGAUGAAGGCCUUGAUUCAAGAUGCCAGUAACCAGGGCUUGGGUGCAGUGCUGUGUCAAACACAGGAUGGGAAAGAGGGUAAUAGCAUUUGCCAGCAGAAUACUUAGGGUUUUGGGUACCUACAAGUUCGGACACUGAAGGGAGCUCUUGGCCCACAAAUGAACCCAGGGUCCAUGCAGAGGCUGCAGAACCAAGGCGGUCCCCCAGGGCGACCAGAUGACUACCACCUCGAUGCUACAGAGAUGUCUAGGCUGUGCCGAGUGGUCAUUGGCGCAAUGACCAUUAUAACAGGAGGGAUGUAACCUGGUAGAGCGGUAUCCCCACCUCUUUUUUGUGUGUGUGCUGUGGAUGUGAUGACACAGGCCUUGUGUGUGUGUGCUGUAGGCGUGUCUUGUGGGUGUGGUUCACAGGUGCAGGGAAUCAUUUGGGAAACACUGUCUACUUAAGCAGCAGACUCACACUGCUCUGUCGCUCUGUAUUUCUGGUUCUUGCUGUCCAGGUAAUGCACAACAUUAACAGCCUACACUCUUGAAAACCUAAAACUGCACAUAUACUUUCUCUCAUUCUCCCUUUACUAUAUUUGGUUCAGAAAUGCUUGUGUUUUGAGUUACUUUUUGUCUCUGGUUGUUGCUGUCCGGAGGCCUCAUUUAUAAACGCUGCAUACUUACAAAAGAAAGCGUACGUCACAUAUAAGCAAAGUUUGUGAUUUUAAAAAAAAAAAAAAAAAAAAAAACCUGGCAAAAUAAUGUGCGCACCUCCACGGAAGUUCUGACCCUGCCUUACGCACAAAAUCAUGAGAAAUGGGAAACUCCGAUGCCAACAGACAUAUGAAGUUAACGACAGCUCUGCGAAAUUAUUAGAAAUUGUGUGAAAUAAUCAAACACAUUGAGCAUUUCACAACACAUUAUUUGAAGGAUGCAUUGAGGACUAAAAUUAUACUGACGCCCGCAGGGAGCGAGUGAUGUGCGCGCGCCUACAAAUACAGUUUUAUAUUAAUAUUUGAUAUCAAAAUCACAUGAUCAUUGCGCAAAACUGCCAAUCAAUUGGCUGCAACACCUGUAGCUGUUAUAAAUAGGAACGCACUCUAAUGCGUAAAGACGCACAAUGGCUUAUUUGGCACUGCCAGCGGACGAGGUGCACAACGCGAUCUGCCUUUCUAUCAUUACUAAUGUUCACUGUCACCAAAUCAAAAUAGACCCAACCUCCUCCACUGACUACCCCGUGCCUGACGAUUAGUACACCAGCACUUUUGGAUAUAUCCCCCAUUUUAGACUACCUUUUUAACCUUUUAAACUUAGUAAUAAAAUGUAAUCUUUUAAACUACA
rnacentral:lncRNA from 1 species